rnacentral:rRNA from 1 species
GACGAACGCUGGCGGCGCGCCUAACACAUGCAAGUCGAACGGAGCUUAGAGAGCUUGCUUUUAAGCUUAGUGGCGAACGGGUGAGUAACGCGUGAGUAACCUGCCCUGGAGUGGGGGACAACAGUUGGAAACGACUGCUAAUACCGCAUAAGCCCACGGUACCGCAUGGCACUGAGGGAAAAGGAUUUAUUCGCUUUAGGAUGGACUCGCGUCCAAUUAGCUAGUUGGUGAGGUAACGGCCCACCAAGGCGACGAUUGGUAGCCGGACUGAGAGGUUGAACGGCCACAUUGGGACUGAGACACGGCCCAGACUCCUACGGGAGGCAGCAGUGGGGGAUAUUGCACAAUGGGGGAAACCCUGAUGCAGCGACGCCGCGUGGAGGAAGAAGGUUUCGGAUUGUAAACUACCUGUCGUUAGGGACGGAUAAUAGACGGUA